ensembl:lncRNA
CACUAUGUUGGUUGUAGUUUCAGAGUAGUCUGUUCGCAGAGUGAAAAACUGUUAUCAUGGGACUAUUUUCACAACUAAAGAAAGCGUUUAAAGUGGAGCAUGCUCACGAAACCCCAACCCUGUGUGCUGCUCAAAUAUACGCCCAUCACUGUGGAAAACCAUCCUAAUCCUCUUGAUGAGCCGCCUGGUGGUGCUGAUGAAAUAAGGAGAAAGGAGGUCAGAAUUUUCUACAACACAUCCCUAUUGUAGAGAUCCAUGAUCAUCAAGAACCCCCAUUCUCUGAAGUCCUUCCUGUUGUAGAGGAACUGCUGGAGCAGGAUGUUCCCCAACCACUGUCACGCCCCAUUUCCCACGAGCCAGAGCAGAGCCAAGUGACUGAGCAGAGGAUUGCCCCGGAAGUUGAGCCCAACCCGUCAGACCAGGUGCGAGAUCCCGUGACAGUACCCACCACGAGGGAGCAGGCCGUGGACGGUGUGAACGCGGAGAGAAGCUCCACCCCCUGCACCACGGCUAAGGGUGAGCGAAGUAUGGAAUGCCAAAAGGGCAAAAAUGUCAAGGAGGGGGGAUCUAAUAGACUGGGAGUCUGAACUGGAGAUGGAACUGCCCCCUCUCCUCUUUCCGUCGUCUCCGCUUGUCCCUUCCAGCCCUCCUUCAUCCUUGGUUUCCUUGUCCAGCCCUGAGGGGGCUUCCAAUCCUCCAGUGCCCACUCCUUGAAAGUGUCCUCCAGUGCCCGCUCCUAGAAAGUGUCCUCCAGUGCCCGCUCCUAGAAAGUGUCUUCCAGUGCCUGCUCCUAGAAUGUGCCCUCCAGUGCCUUCUCCUUGAAAAUGCCCGCCCUCCCACCCGCUCAUGCCUCCUCCACCGCUGUCGUCUGGCAGCCCCUCUGCUCGCCCUCAGCCCAACAUCAUUGCGGUGUGAGCCGCGCGUGACUGCCAUCCUCCAGUAUCCCUCACCUCUGCCUCCGAAGCCUGGACUCCGCCUUGACCCAAAGACCCAGCGGCUCCACCUCGGCUCCUAGCUCCCUUGCCUCCACCGUCUCCCAUCGAUCCAUCAGCUCCACAAGGCUAGGG